rnacentral:rRNA from 1 species
GUGGGGGAUAUUGCACAAUGGGGGAAACCCUGAUGCAGCGACGCCGCGUGAAGGAAGACGUACUUCGGUAUGUAAACUUCUAUCAGCAGGGAAGAAGAUGACGGUACCUGACUAAGAAGCCCCGGCUAACUACGUGCCAGCAGCCGCGGUAAUACGUAGGGGGCAAGCGUUAUCCGGAUUUACUGGGUGUAAAGGGAGCGUAGACGGUGAAGCAAGUCUGAUGUGAAAACCCGGGGCUCAACUCCGGGAUUGCAUUGGAAACUGUUUUAUUUGAGUGCUGGAGGGGCAAGCGGAAUUCCUGGUGUAGCGGUGAAAUGCGUAGAUAUCAGGAAGAACACCGGUGGCGAAGGCGGCUUGCUGGACAGUAACUGACGUUGAGGCUCGAAAGCGUGGGGAGCAAACAGGAUUAGAAACCCCGGUAGUCC